AGAAAGAAUCAAGCCCAACAAAAGCCUUCAAAGAGAAUAAGGGAUAAAGGUGAGUUGGAGAAUGCUCCUUCGUCUAUAAAAAAUGUGCACCAGCGGUUCUUGGGUGCUGAAUGUGUGUGAGGCUCCAAACUCUUAACACACUGUGUCUCACUUGAUCCCUGUGAACCCAGCUGGCAUUUUGUUGAUGAGGAAGCUGCAUUUUGUUGAUGAGAGGUGAGAUGACUUAACUAUGAUCACCUCGAGGGGGCCACAACCAGAAAUCCAGGUUUUCAGGGUACGGAGUUUGAUAUCUUUUAAUUUGAUCUGCCUCACUAAGUUAACAAAUCAAGUCCUCCAUAUCCUUCCUUAUUGUGUGAUUUAUUGAUCAUGGACUAAGAGAGAAUUGUACCAGCAUAAGUACCACUAGCUUGGACUAAAAUAGACAAAGACAGUUCAAAAUGAAAUGAGGGCACUGGGCACCCACCGAAGCAGCCUGAACAAACUACUCUGCUGCAAACCGAGGGAAAGCAGGAAUGACCCAGAGGAUGGAGCCAAGAACCCAGAGGGUGAAAAACCACAGAGCACCACAUUCCCAGACUCUGGAGCAGGGGGGAAUUGUGACAUUUGCACCAUGGAAUCCUAGAUUUCCUAAAGCCUUAAGGACUGCUAUGUUUAUUACCCCCUCUUAAGUAGGAGUUUCUAUUAUG